rnacentral:lncRNA from 1 species
AUAAUAUAUGAGGGGGGAUAGGAGGGGUCCUGAUCCCGAAAUCCCGGACUUAAAAUAACGAAUUCCCGAGGUCCCGAAUUUAAAUACAGUAAAUCCUGAUGUCCCAAAAUCCGAAAAAAACGAUUCCCGUAUCCCGAAAAGGUCAAUCCCAAAAUCCCAAGCUUAAAAACACCCGAUCCCGGAGUCCCGAUAAAGGUCCUAUCCCCCCUCAUAUAUCCUACCAUAGUCUAAAAUCGUUCAUCUUGUCAGUUCGUUAGGUAUUUGUGUUUGAACUUAACACACGGGGAAACUCCGCAUUGACGUCACUACACUACUUCCGGCGUAGAAAAACAGUGCAGAAUACGUUUUUUCUGCACUUUUGAAUAAAAAAAACAUUUCUUACGGUAAGUUUUCAUCGUUGUUCUCAAUUAUUGCUAAAAAAUGCCAAUUUUCUAAUGCCCAUUUCAAUCCCGACUUCCGAAUGUCUAAAAACAUUCUAGAACUUCACAAAAUCCCAUUUCCAGCCUCCAUUGCUUUGUGUACAUUCCAUUCAGCGUCAUCAAUCUUGUGGCAGGCAAUACAGGUCAAGUAAAUCGUAUUUUUAGGAAUUUUAAAACGACAUGCUCCUUACGUCUUUCGUGAUUUUCCCGCGAAAAAAGCCCAACCAAAAUGAAAGGAAAACUAUAUGAAAAAACGAUGUCCAUGCCAUAAUUUUGUACAGGAAUAUAGAGUAGGUUAAAAUAAAAAACAAUUUACAUUUAUUUUUCAUAGAAUUUUUUUUUAUCCAUUAUAAAAAGAUCGAUAUUCUGACCAUCAUGACUGUAGGUAAAUAUUCAUACAAAAUUCCAUUGAUGUCAAAAGGGAUGGCAAAAAAGAGUUUCCCUGUUGAAUAAACCCAAAAUUAUUGCAAACUAUUUUGAAGCAAUAUCCCACAAAGAAAUAACGUAAUUGCCGUAGACUGAAAAAUCCCCUAAUUGACAGUAGAGCAAUUUGAUUGGGUAUAAGGAAUUGACAUCACGUGAUUUUGACGCCAUUGAAAUUUGAAUGUAAACAAACAAGGUCAGAAGGUUCAGUAUGGGAUCACAUCGUACAUUUAGUUACUUGGACUACAAAAUGUUUGCUUACAUACAUGUACAUUUACAUGUACAUGAUGAUGAAUUCUUCGAAACAGUUCUAAAUUCUUUACCUUGAAUGAUUUCAUUAAAUUGUUAUAUGUAUUUCUAUUCCAAGCUAUAAUGUAUUAACAUUCUGUACAUGUAUUUCUAUUCUAGGUUACCCUGUUUAAUGGUAACCAUUCUGUAACAUAUAUUUCUAUUCUAGGCUACAGUGUAUUACCAAGUUUUUCAAGUUGUCAACAGAUUUAGACAGUA